GACGAACGCUGGCGGCGUGCUUAACACAUGCAAGUCGAACGGAAAGGCCCUGCUUGCAGGGUACUCGAGUGGCGAACGGGUGAGUAACACGUGGGUGAUCUGCCCUGCACUUCGGGAUAAGCCUGGGAAACUGGGUCUAAUACCGGAUAGGAGCCAUUUUUAGUGUGAUGGUUGGAAAGUUUUUUCGGUGUAGGAUGAGCUCGCGGCCUAUCAGCUUGUUGGUGGGGUAAUGGCCUACCAAUGCGGCGACGGGUAGCCGGCCUGAGAGGGUGGACGGCCACAUUGGGACUGAGAUACGGCCCAGACUCCUACGGGAGGCAGCAGUGGGGAAUAUUGCACAAUGGGCGCAAGCCUGAUGCAGCGACGCCGCGUGGGGGAUGACGGCCUUCGGGUUGUAAACUCCUUUCGCUAGGGACGAAGCUUUUUGUGACGGUACCUAGAUAAGAAGCACCGGCUAACUACGUG
rnacentral:rRNA from 1 species